ensembl:lncRNA
GGCAAGGAUGACCCCUCUGCAAGCCAACCAAUCCUAAAUCCUCACCUCCGUCAACCCUUAACCCCCCCCCUUGAUGAAUGCAACUUUCCACCUUUAAGCUUCCCUAUCAUCUCAGUGCUUUGCUAUUUCCCAGGACUCCGCAAAUGUGACUGGCUGCCUGACGCAAACUCUCACUGCACCGAGGAAAUGUCCCAGAGCUUUUGUGUGCCAAGCUGUGACGGCUCAUCUAUCACUGAGGCCGCAAAUACACAUUACACUCCCAUUACAGACCAUCACAGCAACAACCGCAACAGUACACAGUCCGGAGGAAAGGCCCACUGCGAGGAGCUGCAUUUACACACGUCCACCAUUUCGCGCAAAAGAAACGAAGCAGUGAGCUUACCUGUGUAUCUGUCACUUGCUGACGCGUCACUGGGACAGACAAAGUCACUUCAAUACAGGUCACACUAACGCAAUGCACUAUGGGAUCUUCUCGGUUCCUCUACUUCUUUCACUCGUCACUCUCCCCCUCUCAUAAUAGCACCUUCUGCUUGGCAACGGUCAAACCACAAAUGUGGUCAGGUUUGCAACGAACCAUCACUGCGCAACAUCA